rnacentral:sRNA from 1 species
CUCUCCUGUCCCCAGGACACGCUAGGCUCCUGGCAGCGCUGUGUGACCACGUGUGAGACAGCCCUGAAGCAAGGGAAACGGGUCGCCAUUGACAACACCAACCCGGACGCCGCGAGCCGCGGCAGGUAGCGGGGCAGGUAGCGGGGCCGCGGGGCCGUAGGGGGCCUGGGGUGGUGUGGGCGGGGCCUGCACAUCCAGCUCCUUCCACCACAGGUACGUCCAGUGUGCCCGAGCCGCGGGUGUCCCCUGCCGCUGCUUCCUCUUCACCGCCACUCUGGAGCAGGCGCGCCACAACAACCGGUUUCGAGAGAUGACGGACUCCUCUCAUGUCCCCGUGUCAGACAUGGUCAUGUAUGGCUACAGGUACUGUUGGGGAUACCAGGGGGCAGGGCACUGGCUGGGCCACGAGCCAGACUGUCCCUCACUGUUCCCACCACUGCCAGGAAGCAGUUCGAGGCCCCAACGCUGGCCGAAGGCUUCUCUGCCAUCCUGGAGAUCCCGUUCCGGCUAUGGGUGGAGCCGAGGCUGGGGCGGCUGUACCGCCAGUUCUCCGAGGGCUGAGCCCCGCCCAGCUCCCCUCCACAAUAAAUGCUGUUUCUCUUUGA